rnacentral:lncRNA from 1 species
AAAAACAGUUGAAUUAGAGUAAAGAAAGCUACACACAUGCUUAAAAAAGAAAACCACAAAGACCCACAAAGAUAUCCAAGCCAAAUUUUAGAGAAUUAAGAGUAAAGAGCACAAGAAAAUCAAACACGAAGCUCACAGUCACAGAUCCGCCAUCGCAAUUCAACUCUAGAUCUGCCACCACCAUCAAACGAAAACCGAGACCCCAAACAGAGCCUAAACCUCCAACUAGGAGACACCAUACCCAGAAAGGAGACGUGAUUGAAUUUUUUAAGAGUGUUGAUUGUCGGACAUAGCUGUGCGGUCCCAAAUUGUUAGCAUCGAUAAGCGAGAAUCUCUCCCAAGUAGUAAAAAAACUUCUGAAAUUCAACACUUUAAACUAUCAAAUGAACAAAGUUUCAAAAAUAGGAUCAAAACCAUCAAAUACCCAAGAGACAAGCAUGAAAAACAAAAUGAGAGUAACAAAACAAUAGGCAAAGAGAAGACUCAGAAAUCAA